rnacentral:tRNA from 1 species
UGAGGUGUAGCUUAGUGGUAAAGUGCUUGCCCAGCACAUGUGAGGCCCUGAAUUUGAUCCUCAGCACCAUGUAAAAAUAAAUAAAACAUAGAUAUUGUGACAUUCUACAACUAAAAAGAUAUUUUUUUAAAAAAUAAAGAGGGCUGCCCAUGUAGCUUAAUAAUAGAGCGCUUGCCUAUUAUGUGCAUGACCCUGGGUUCAAUCCCCAGUACCACCA